GUAUAAAGUAUUAUUAAUUAGCAUAAUUAAUUAUAAAUACAGCAUUAAGAAAACACGUUGCAUGAACUAAUAUAUAGCUUGUUGGCCUGUGGGUAAUAAUAGUGGUAAUAAAGAAGGGAAAGGUGGGUGAGAAAAUGUCUAACUCAAAUUGGGUCUGAACCAAUUAUGAUUUACAACCAAAUCUUGGGUAAGAAUUUUCUAUCAGUUACUGGCUAAUGAACAGGCUGCAGCAGCUGAAAACAACAAGGUCUGGUUCUUGAAUUUGCAAUCUUGUUUGUUUCAGUCAUUCUUAUUGAUGAACACGCCCUUAUUGAUGUUUGAUGAAAUACAGGCUGCAAAUGCCAAUGGAGCCAAUUGUGGUCGGUGGAGCUCUGCCGGAAAAGAGAGCUGCCGUGCUCAGAAAAAAGCUGCAGCAACCACCUAACCUAAGCCAGAGGUGAUAUGACAGAAGUUGCAGAGCUGAAGGAGAAGGCCGGAGAGAAGUCGUGGAUGAAGAAGAAAGCUCCAACUCUCACUGGCUGCAUCCAAAGGUGCAAAUAGUUGUCAUUGAUGCUGCUGACGUGAAUUGUUGAAUAUGUUGAUGAGAUCUACAAGUCAGUUGAGUAAAUGCACUGGACCCAGAACCAAAAUUCAUGCCAAAAAUCAGGGAGUCUCGUGCGUUUGGGAUCAUAAGGCUCUGAAGCUCUUAUAAGUAUGAGGAGAGUCAUAUUUGAAAGGUAACAGAUCCGUUCGAAGAACCAUAGGUGAUCGAAAUCAAUAGGUGGAGAUCGCGUUAUUGAGGCGGAUCAGUUUUGGCGCCGUCUGUGGGAACGAAACUAAGAGAGCAUGGAAGGAGAUAUGGGAAGAAACGCCUAAGGGACGGAUGCGAAUUUAAGAAGCAUGGAACGAACUAUUAGUUGACACGAACUGAACUCCAUCCUCAUGGAAGCAUUAACCAAGAUGGGCCUGGAUAACGCUAGACUAGCGCCGGUCGCAACCCCCUCUGGUUGGAUUUGGAGGUAGUGAGGUCCAAUCGCUGGGAACGAUCGACCUGCCAGUAUCCAUAGGUGAGGAGCCGAGGAGAAGAAUGUUGAUGGUAAAAUUUCUAGUAGUAAAUACCGCUUACUUGUAAUGUUAUAUUAGGUAGACCAGGGCUUAACUCUUUCAGGGCUAUAGUAUCUACCUAUCAUGGUAAAAUGAAGUUCCCAACACCAAAUGGAGUGGGGGAAGUGUCAUGCGACCAAGUGGAGGCAAGAAGAUGCUAUAAUUUGUCCCUGAAAAAGGGCAACAUUGAAGAGAAGAAAUGAAAGUUAAAUGUUCCAGACGAGGAAUGGGAUAAUCGAAAGAUGGAGAGGAUUGAAUCAAUUGAUGACCAUAAGAAGGUUGAGCUAAUGAAUGGAGAUGGAGACUCUGAAAUUGGGUCUAAAAUGACAAAGGAAAUGGAGACUCUGAUCGUCGCCUUCCUCCAAAGUAACUCAGAUGUGUUUUCAUGGGACUCUUCGGACUUCAGAGGGAUAAGCCCAGAAGUAAUCGUCCACCGAUUGAAUGUCGAUCCUGCGGCACGACCCAUCCAGCAGAAGAAGCGAACUUUUGGCGUCGAAAAGAAUGCGAUCAUAAAGGAAGAAGUCGCAAAAUUGUUGGGUGCAGGAUAUAUCUCGGAGGUCCAUUAUACUGACUGGUUAUCGAACGUGGUGGUCGUACCAAAGGCAUUAGGGAAAUGAAGAAUGUGUACUGAUUUCACCAACCUGAAUAAGGCAUGCCCCAAAGACCCAUACCUGCUCCCAAGAAUUGACGCACUUGUAGAUUCAACCGUUGGUUUUAAGCUCUUCUCCAUGAUGGACGCCUACCAGGGUUACCAUCAGAUUAGCAUGGCAGCUGAGGAUCGAUCCAAGACAUCUUUGUAACCAAUGAAGGUAUCUACUGUUAUAAUGUUAUGCCUUUUGGGCUUAAAAAUACAGGAGCAACAUACCAAAGAUUGGUGAAUAAAAUGUUCAAGAACCAGAUCGGGAAAACAAUGGAGGUACGUGGACGAUAUGCUCGUCAAAAGCCAACGACCAGAGGACCACUUAGCUCACUUGGAGGUCGCCUUUAAUAUCAUGCGAACUUAUGGAAUGAAGCUCAACCCGAGCAAGUGCACGUUCGGAGUGGGAGGUGGCAAAUUCUUGGGUUAUAUGGUUAGCAGUCGAGGCAUAGAAGCAAACCCAGAAAAGAUCGAAGCCAUCUUGCAGCUGAAAUUCCCUUCAUCAGUAAAAGAGGUCCAGAAACUAACCGGUAAGAUCGGUCCCUUAAUCUCUUUAUUUCAGAUCUGCGGAUAGAAAUUUGCAAUUCUUUAAAGUCCUUAGAAAAGCAAAGGAUUUUAGAUGGACCGAAGAAUGUGAGCUAGCAUUCCAAGAGCUAAAAAAUUACCUAAAAUUCCCACCCUUAUUAGCCAAUCCAAGAGUGGGGGGUGUAUUGUAUUUGUACCUGGUAGUGUCCGAGAAUACGGUCAGUUCAGUAUUGGUGAGAGAGGAAAAAAAGGCACAAAAUCCAGUGUACUAUGUCAGUAAAAUGUUGCAAGGGGCAGAGAGGAUAUACACUAUGAUCGAAAAGCUGGUUCUGGCACUGGUAGUGACGGCGCGGAGGCUCCGACCAUAUUUUCAGUCCCAUAAAGUGGUCGUGCUGACUAACCAACCUUUGAAAAAUAUAUUGUCUCGGCCUAAGGUUUUUGGAAGGCUAGUGAAAUGGGCUAUCGAGCUAGGCGAGUAUGACAUUGAGUAGCAAGGACAACUGAAAAAGGUCAAAUUUUGGUCGACUUCAUGAUAGAGUUGACCGGAGAACCAACCCAGAAGCUCGAUACGUGGAUGCUGCAUGGACAGUAUUAUAAAACAAUAUAUAAAAGUUUAAAAAGUUAUGUAAAAUUUGAAUACAAGGUUCGAAUGAAAUCCUAAUUCAAGCUAAUGGAAUAAGUCAAUUGUUGGA